GGAUUUCAAGUCUUUGUUUACACCUUUCAAGGUAAUUCAUCCAAAUCUAACAUAUAUAUCUUGUAUGCAUUUUUCUUUUCACUGAAGUGUGCUUGAGAGAGAACAAGAAAGGAAAGAAAUAAGUAGGCAUAUAACUUGGGGCAUGAUUUACUAAAUAUUCAAUGAGAAUGAGGAGCAGAAGAAAACUUUGUGAUGGCAACCUGGCGAGCGUUUUCCACCAGAUAAGGUGGAAAACAUGUGCAGCUCUGGCUCCUCUUUCUUAAGCCUCAGUGGGGUGCAAAGUGUGUAAAUCUGUUCAAAAUGAUUGAUGAAAUUGAUUUCUCAUCCACCCUUGCAAUCGUAAGGAGAUAAUUCACAGCUCAUGUCUUUCUACAAGAGCACGAGGAAAACAUUUAGGAACAUUUCAGGCUUUUUGUACUCUCGCUGAGUCUAUAAAGGUAUUUUUAAUCUGUGUACUUGUGUACUCAUGUGCACCCAGACAAACAAAUUCCAUUAGCCCCAUUCCACUUCUGCUCUGAAAGGCAAAAGCAUUGCUCACUGCCAAACGAUGAAGGUCAUUGUAUGCACAAACCCACAUAGACAGAUACACACACACAUACUCUGUCUGCACAUGCAAUGCACAGGCAUUCAUUCAGCCACAGCACCGUUGUCAACCAUGCUCCCCAAAUGUGCUGCUAAUGGCAUCAUUAGUGCUCGGCUCCAGAUUGCAAACAGAUGCUCUUGAUAAACUUCAUAGCAGAGGAAAUGCUAAAGGAAAUGAAGCAGAAAUCUUGAAGGGGAUGCAGUUACUGGCAAAAAAUAAGAGAGGAGGACAAUGCUUUUGGAAGGGACCCAUAACCCUAACCAUGGGUUUGUGUCUUGUCUGUAUUGCAUACUGAUUGCAUCAUCCAGAGUGUACUAUAGUCUGGAAAGAGUUAAUUGCUAAGAAGCUGUGAUGUCCUUAAUGUGUGGCUGGAACUGGGGAGUGUCCAGACACAAGUGUUUGUGCAUUACUGAUUACAUCAGUUCUGUUCUGAGUCAAGUUCUGUCUGCCUAGAGUGAGAGUCCUGUGUCCUUUGUCUGCAAGUCUGUUUGUCUUGAUUAUUACUGAAGUCAGUAAAACUUUGUAUAUAGUUUUACCAUCGUCUCUGAUGUCUCUUCAUUCUGCGUUCCACUGACUCCAUCCAACUACUGCUGCGCUGCAAAUUACUCUGACAAAGCCUACCGGUAGUGUGUAUUGUCAAUUCAAACUUCUAUAAGUGGUGUGGGGCUAUUGUCUUCGUUGGAUGGGUGUUGCCUAUGGCCUGGGGGCAAGAGGUAUUAAUCCUCCCAGGAAUGUUUGGGGUUUGGCUGGGGUUGAGACUCAACUAAGAUCAGUAAAAAUAUGUUAUACAUUUAUAGUUAUAAUUAGAGGAAUGGUUUGGGGAGCUGGGUAUGUUUAGCUCAGAGAAUAAAAAGGCUGAAAGGGGACAUGAGAGCCAUGUUUAAAUAUUUGAAAAGAUGUUCUAUUGAGGAAGAAACUGCUCUGGAGACUCGGACACAAUGGAGGAAUGGACUCAAAUUGCAAGAAAAGAGAUUCCACCUGAACAUUAGGAAGACGAUCCUGAGGUUAAGAGCAAUGCAAUAAACUUCCUUAGAGUAUGGUGGAUUUUUCUUCUCUGGAUGUUUUUAAACAUAGGCUGGAUGGCCAUCUGUUGGGGGUGCUUUGAAUGUGAUUUUCCUGCUUCUUGGAAGAAUGGGGUUGGACUGGAUGGCCCACAAGGUCUCUUCCAACUCUAGAAUUCUAUGAUUCUAAUCCUUUUCUUGCUCUCAUCUCUAGUCUUUGUGGCGUGGGAAGGAGGCACAAUUUCAACUCCUUCCUAUAAGGUGUUAAAUUGGAAUCUUUUAACUGGAGUUGGGGGACCUGUAACAACACUAUGUUGCUGGAUUCCAACUCCCAUUCACUUUUGCCACAUACCCAGUGAGGAAGAGAGGAGAGUAUAGUAGUUCCUCAAAAAUCUGGAGGGCUAGAAGUCUCCACACAUAUGUUCUGAAAAGGUUUUUCUGAAUCUUCAAUUUGUUUUUUUCAGCAAGGAGCUGCAUCUUGGAAAAUUUCCCAAGGGGAAAAAAUAUUAGCCGAGAUGUGUGGACUCAACCCUAUAGGAGUUCUCUAAGUGGCUACUCAACACUGAUUCAAGAGGGUAAUGUUCCUCUUCCUUUCCUCUCCAUUGUGGCCUCUUAGGAUCCAGAAAGGAGCCUGCCACUCAUUCCCCACCCUAUUGAAUUUGCUUG
ensembl:lncRNA